GACGAACGCUGGCGGCGUGCCUAAUACAUGCAAGUCGAACGAGAGCGACCGGUGCUUGCACUGGUCAAUCUAGUGGCGAACGGGUGAGUAACACGUGGGUAACCUGCCCAUCAGAGGGGGAUAACAUUCGGAAACGGAUGCUAAAACCGCAUAGGUCUUCGAACCGCAUGGUUUGAAGAGGAAAAGAGGCGCAAGCUUCUGCUGAUGGAUGGACCCGCGGUGCAUUAGCUAGUUGGUGAGGUAACGGCUCACCAAGGCCGUGAUGCAUAGCCGACCUGAGAGGGUGAUCGGCCACAUUGGGACUGAGACACGGCCCAAACUCCUACAGGAGGCAGCAGUAGGGAAUCUUCCGCAAUGGACGCAAGUCUGACGGAGCAACGCCGCGUGAGUGAAGAAGGUUUUCGGAUCGUAAAACUCUGUUGUUAGAGAAGAAUAAGUGCUAGAGUAACUGUUAGCGCCUUGACGGUAUCUAACCAGAAAGCCACGGCUAACUACGUG
rnacentral:rRNA from 1 species